rnacentral:rRNA from 1 species
CCUACGGGAGGCAGCAGUGGGGAAUAUUGGGCAAUGGGCGCAAGCCUGACCCAGCAACGCCGCGUGAAGGAAGAAGGCUUUCGGGUUGUAAACUUCUUUUAAGGGGGAAGAGCAGAAGACGGUACCCCUUGAAUAAGCCACGGCUAACUACGUGCCAGCAGCCGCGGUAAUACGUAGGUGGCAAGCGUUGUCCGGAAUUACUGGGUGUAAAGGGCGUGCAGCCGGAGAGACAAGUCAGAUGUGAAAUCCACGGGCUCAACCCGUGAACUGCAUUUGAAACUGUUUCCCUUGAGUGUCGGAGAGGUAGUCGGAAUUCUUGGUGUAGCGGUGAAAUGCGUAGAUAUAAGGAAGAACACCAGUGGCGAAGGCGGAUUACUGGACGAUAACUGACGGUGAGGCGCGAAAGCGUGGGGAGCAAACAGGAUUAGAUACCCGAGUAGUC